GUGAGAGUGAUCUGCCUGCAGCAUCUGUCACCCUGUGGGUACUCAGGGAGUAUAUGACUGAUACAGCUGGCUAGGCAGGUUUCUACUUCUUUCCACAUGCUACACAGGGAUCUCACCAAAGCUGAGCCCUUGAUGGAAGAGUGAACACUGCAGGUAGAGGUGGUAAGAAUCCUUCUUGUUACAAUCUUAAGUCAUUUGAGUUCUCUAAGUUCAAUUUUUUUUCUGAAGAAGAAUGAAACACAUAAUAACAAUAUCUCCCAUUUUGAAAAUUAAGUGAGGUAGUGUAUGUGAAAAU
rnacentral:snRNA from 1 species